CGGACGCCAUAAAAACUUUUGGCCGUGCCAAAGAAACUGCGUUCCUACUGGUAGCGUAGUAUAAAUUGUGUGAACUCAGGGAAACCCCAAACAGCUAGGCUGUGGGCAAUCCUGAUCGAAGCCCAAAAGGGAACGAGCAACGACUAUUCCGAAAGGAAGUACACCUGAAGUCAGGUGGAAGCGCACAACACCGCAAAUAGCAGUGAUGAGAUAGUCUGAUCUCAUGGGAAACCAUGAG
rnacentral:ncRNA from 1 species